UACGUAGGGCGCAAGCGUUGUCCGGAAUUAUUGGGCGUAAAGGGCUCGUAGGCGGCCAACUAAGUCAGACGUGAAAUCCCUCGGCUUAACCGGGGAACUGCGUCUGAUACUGGAUGGCUAGAGGUUGGGAGAGGGAUGCGGAAUUCCAGGUGUAGCGGUGAAAUGCGUAGAUAUCUGGAGGAACACCGGUGGCGAAGGCGGCAUCCUGGACCAAUUCUGACGCUGAGGAGCGAAAGCCAGGGGAGCAAACGGG
rnacentral:rRNA from 1 species